ACGGAAGGCAGCAGUGAGGAAUAUUGGUCAAUGGACGCAAGUCUGAACCAGCCAUGCCGCGUGCAGGAAUAAGGCCCUAUGGGUCGUAAACUGCUUUUGUGGUGGAGCAAUAAGUCGUACGUGUACGGCGAUGAGAGUACAUCACGAAUAAGCAUCGGCUAACUCCGUGCCAGCAGCCGCGGUAAUACGGAGGAUGCAAGCGUUAUCCGGAUUUAUUGGGUUUAAAGGGUGCGUAGGCUGUGGUCCAAGUCAGGGGUGAAAGCCCGGAGCUCAACUCCGGAACUGCCUUUGAUACUGGAUUACUGGAAUACGGAUGCCGUGGGAGGAAUGAGUAGUGUAGCGGUGAAAUGCAUAGAUAUUACUCAGAACACCGAUUGCGAAGGCAUCUCACGAAUCCGUCAUUGACGCUGAGGCACGAAAGCGUGGGGAUCAAACAGGAUUAGAUACCCUGGUA
rnacentral:rRNA from 1 species